rnacentral:snoRNA from 1 species
AUCCCAUGGUGCGGACAGGGCAGUGACAUACUCUUGCAUUCUCUCGCAAGCAUCGAGAAUGGAUUCCUCAGCUUGUUGUGUAAAACUAGAGAUUUUAUUAUAGAGAGC